ensembl:lincRNA Gm42920 predicted gene 42920
GGUACUGUGGGCUGAGGCUCUCCUAUGUUGGGGUGGAGGGUGGUAUCUUGACAGAUCCUGAGCUGGGUCUAGAGCACUGGGAGCUGGACUUCUCUUAUGCAGGAGUGGAGUAUGGGGUGGUCGGCUCCUGUGUACACAGCAUCUGCCAGUAAGAGGGAUGUCACCUCUCUUCUAACCACCAGCUUCUAUACUCGCCUCUUCCACGUCCCAUCACUGACUACAUAGCUUAAUAGCCAAGUAUCUCCUAAGCUGAAAUAAGCCAUUAUUGCUUUCAUCUACUACCAUGGCUUCUCAGAAGUCUUCCCCAGCAUCUUGGGUAACCAGCUCCUUGCUCAAGACUCCAGAAAGACUCUGAAAACAGGUGCCAACGUGCCUUACUCUUCAGCAAUGCAAGUACUCCUCAAAUGUC